rnacentral:rRNA from 1 species
ACGUAGGGUGCGAGCGUUAAUCGGAAUUACUGGGCGUAAAGCGUGCGCAGGCGGCUUUGUAAGACAGAUGUGAAAUCCCCGGGCUCAACCUGGGAACUGCAUUUGUGACUGCAAGGCUAGAGUGCGUCAGAGGGAGGUGGAAUUCCGCGUGUAGCAGUGAAAUGCGUAGAGAUGUGGAGGAACACCGAUGGCGAAGGCAGCCCCCUGGGCCGAUACUGACGCUCAGACGCGAAAGCAUGGGGAGCGAACGG